rnacentral:lncRNA from 12 species
UUUUCCACAAGAAGGUGAGGUGCUUGAUCGCCGUGCCCCCACCANNNNNNNNNNGUGCCCGGAGCUGUAUGUUGUGAUUUCAAUCAAGUCACCUGAGCCCUUUGGUCCGGCCCGACGCGCGUGCGCAGAGCCGUAACCGGGCCGGGACAACCGCCAGCGCCCUAUCCCUGCGGGCCGCCUCGCGCAGGCCCCGCCCCCGCCUCUCAUGGGCUCGCCCCGCAAGCGAAGGGGAAGUAAUUUUGGAACUGAGCACCUUGCUACCUGACCCAACGAAUCGUGCCACUUUACCAGUGGCUCGCAUCCCUUGUGGACUUCUGAGGUCUCCCUCUGAGGAUUCCCCCCGGUUGGUAAUUUUAUCUUCUGUUGAAUCAUUUUACUUUUCAGCUCACCCAUUUAAGAGAAGAAAAGAAAACUCCGUUUGCCCUACAUUUUCCACCUAUUACUGUACGUUUGCAACUCUUUUUAGCAAAAUUCCUCCAGUGAGUUAUCUGUUUGCUGUCUCCGUGAGCCCCCGGCUAUUCCCUCUUGAACCCACUCCAUAUAGACUCUUCCCCGCCACCCUAUGAGAGCUAUUCAGGAGUAUGCCAACAGUCUCCAAACAGGUCCCUCUCCUUUCUGUCUCUCAUCUAACAGCUCAACCCGACUCUCCUUGCCUAUGAUUAACAGGAUAAAAUGCAAACUUCCUAGAAAGGCCUUCUAGGUCCAAUUAAAUUCCCAAAGCCAAAAACGAAAUAGUGAUCAUUACUUUUCAUUAAGCAGUUAUUACAUAGGAGGGGUUGUUCCCUACCCUCUUCACAUUAACACAUUUAAUGCUUACAACAGGCCCUGUAAGGUAGUUUAUAUUAUUAAUAUCCUCAUAUAUAGAUGAGGAAACCUAAGCACAGAGAGAUUAAGGUACUUGCUCAAAGUCACACAACUUGUAAGUGAAAGAGGCACCAUGUGAACUCAAGCAAUGCUGCCCCCAGACCAGGCAUACCUCAAGAACAGGUACUGUGCGUCAACCACAUGGCUUCCCCAUGCCUGUCACAGGGUGUAAUAUUUGGGGCCCACCCAGACACCCUAACACUUAACACUGGAUUUUAUUCUAAGUGAGCUGGAAAGCAAAGAAGAUUUUGAACAGCCUACAUCACACGAAACCUGUACACAGUAAUUCAUAGGGGUUUUAUUUGUAAUAGCCAAAAACUGGAAAAACCAAUGUCCCUUGUGAAAAUCAGCAAAAGGAAAACUCAUUUAAACGGGAGUUGGGAGGCUAGGAGGGGAGCUUACAUGCCCUACCAUUCAUCAUCAACUGCAGACCUUGCAAGUGUUGAGAAUGGAUACUAUUGUACUGCUCUGGCAGGAGGAAGAAAGGUUUUCCUCCUCCCCCAGCAACAGCCAAGCUAAUGAGAAACUGUGACAGUUCAUCAAAUGAAAAGCUACUAUUCUUAGAACUCUGUUUACUCCAAUGAACUUUCCAUUUAUAACAACUCCUCCUAAACCUCCCUUUUCCUCUAUAAAAAAACAUACUUUGCCUUUGUUCUCCAGAUUUGCCUAUAGUUUUGCUGUAGCUUGAAUAUCCUGCAUUGU